AACGAACGCUGGCGGCAGGCCUAACACAUGCAAGUCGAGCGCCCCGCAAGGGGAGCGGCGGACGGGUGAGUAACGCGUGGGAAUAUGCCCUUUGCUACGGAAUAGUCUCGGGAAACUGGGGGUAAUACCGUAUACGCCCUUUGGGGGAAAGAUUUAUCGGCGAAGGAUUAGCCCGCGUUGGAUUAGGUAGUUGGUGGGGUAAUGGCCUACCAAGCCGACGAUCCAUAGCUGGUUUGAGAGGAUGAUCAGCCACACUGGGACUGAGACACGGCCCAGACUCCUACGGGAGGCAGCAGUGGGGAAUCUUAGACAAUGGGGGCAACCCUGAUCUAGCCAUGCCGCGUGAGUGAUGAAGGCCUUAGGGUUGUAAGGCUCUUUCAGCUGGGAAGAUAAUGACGGUACCAGCAGAAGAAGCCCCGGCUAACUCCGUG
rnacentral:rRNA from 1 species